CAGGUGCUGCAUGGCUGUCGUCAGCUCGUGUCGUGAGAUGUUGGGUUAAGUCCCGCAACGAGCGCAACCCUUGUCAUUAGUUGCCAUCAUUUAGUUGGGCACUCUAAUGAGACUGCCGGUGACAAACCGGAGGAAGGUGGGGAUGACGUCAAGUCCUCAUGGCCCUUAUGUUCUGGGCUACACACGUGCUACAAUGGCCGGUACAGACGGACGCAAAGCCGCGAGGUGGAGCAAAUCCUAAAAAAGCCGGUCUCAGUUCGGAUUGCAGGCUGCAAUUCGCCUGCAUGAAGUCGGAAUCGCUAGUAAUCGCAGGUCAGCAUACUGCGGUGAAUACGUUCCCGGGCCUU
rnacentral:rRNA from 1 species